rnacentral:rRNA from 1 species
GACGAACGCUGGCGGCGUGCUUAACACUUGCAAGUCGAACGGUGAAGGGACCAGCUUGCUGGUUCUGGAUGAGUGGCGAACGGGUGAGUAACACGUGAGUAACCUGCCCCCUUCUUCUGGAUAACCGCAUGAAAGUGUGGCUAAUACGGGAUAUUCUGGGUCUGUCGCAUGGCGGGCCCGGGAAAGAUAUUGCUUCGGUGGGGGAUGGGCUCGCGGCCUAUCAGCUUGUUGGUGGGGUGAUGGCCUACCAAGGCGGUGACGGGUAGCCGGCCUGAGAGGGUGGACGGUCACACUGGGACUGAGACACGGCCCAGACUCCUACGGGAGGCAGCAGUGGGGAAUAUUGCACAAUGGGCGCAAGCCUGAUGCAGCGACGCCGCGUGAGGGAUGGAGGCCUUCGGGUUGUAAACCUCUUUCGCCAGUGAAGCAGGCCUGCUCCUUGUGGGUGGGUUGACGGUAGCUGGAUAAGAAGCGCCGGCUAACUACGUG